rnacentral:rRNA from 1 species
GACGAACGCUGGCGGCGUGCCUAAUACAUGCAAGUAGAACGCUGAACUGCGGAGCUUACUCUUCUUGGGUGAGUUACGAACGGGUGAGUAACGAGUAGGUAACCUGACUUGUAGCGGUGAGCAACUAUUGGAAACGAUAGCUAAUAACACUUCUCAAUGCAUGACACAUGUCGUUUAUUUGAAUGGGGCAAUUGCUCCACUACAAGAUGGACUUGCGUUGUAUUAGCUAGUAGGUGAGGUAAUGGCUCACCUAGGCGACGAUACAUAGCCGACCUGAGAGGGUGAUCGGCCACACUGGGGCGGAGACACGGACCAGACGCCUACGGGAGGCAGCAGAAGGGAAUGUUCGGCAAUGGGGGCAACGCUGGCCGAGCGACGCCGCGGGAGUGAAAAAGGAUGUGGGAGCGGAAAGCUGGGUUGUAAGUCAAGAACGGGUGUGAGAGUGGAAAGUUCACACUGUGACGGUAGCUUACCAGAAAGGGACGGCUAACUACGUG